AGCGAACGCUGGCGGCAGGCCUAACACAUGCAAGUCGAACGAACUCUUCGGAGUUAGUGGCGGACGGGUGAGUACCACGUGGGAACGUGCCUUUUGGUUCGGAAUAACUCAGGGAAACUUGUGCUAAUACCGAAUGUGCCCUUCGGGGGAAAGAUUUAUCGCCAUUAGAGCGGCCCGCGUCUGAUUAGCUAGUUGGUGAGGUAACGGCUCACCAAGGCGGCGAUCAGUAGCUGGUCUGAGAGGAAGACCAGCCACACUGGGACUGAGGCACGGCCCCGAAUGCGACGGGGGGGAGGCGAGGGGAAACCUGCGGAAGGGGGCAAAAUCUGGCGACGCCAUGGCGGGGGGAAUGUGAAGGUUGUAGGAUUGUAAAAUUCUUUCACCGGGGACGAUAAUGACGGUACCCGGAGAAGAAGCCCCGGCUAACUUCGUG
rnacentral:rRNA from 1 species